UACGUAGGGUGCAAGCGUUAAUCGGAAUUACUGGGCGUAAAGCGUGCGCAGGCGGUCCUGCAAGUCAGAUGUGAAAUCCCCGGGCUUAACCUGGGAACUGCAUUUGUGACUGCAAGGCUGGAGUGCGGCAGAGGGGGAUGGAAUUCCGCGUGUAGCAGUGAAAUGCGUAGAUAUGCGGAGGAACACCGAUGGCGAAGGCAAUCCCCUGGGCCUGCACUGACGCUCAUGCACGAAAGCGUGGGGAGCAAACAGG
rnacentral:rRNA from 1 species